rnacentral:rRNA from 1 species
GACGAACGCUGGCGGCGUGCUUAACACAUGCAAGUCGAGCGGAGCGGCGAACGGGCGAGUAACGCGAGAGUAACUGCCCCCCUCCCUGGGAUAACAGUUGGAAACGGCUGCUAAUACCGGAUAGUGGGGGAUGACUGGCGUCAUAUUAGCUUGUUGGUGGGGUAGUGGCCUACCAAGGCGACGCCGGGUAGCCGGCCUGGGAGGGGGCCCGGCCAACAUAUGCUGAGAUACGGCCCAAACUCCAACGGGAGGCAGGAGUGGGGAAUAUUGCACAAUGGGGGAAGCUCUGAUGCGGCGACGCCGCGUGCGGGAUGGCGGCCUUCGGGUUGGAAACCGCUUUCAGCCAUGACGCGGUAGUGGCAGAAGAAGCACCGGCUAACUACGUGCCAGCAGCCGCGGUAAUAC